rnacentral:lncRNA from 1 species
UCCUCAAAAUUGACAAGUUCUACUUGUACUUUUUUUUAUCAAAUUUACUACUAGCAAAAUCAAUAAUAAAAAAUCUAAUUAAUUUAAUAAAAUAAUAUCUAAAGUACCAUAAGUCAAUAUUAAAUGUACCAAUAAAAAUCUAAAUAUUCUUUUAAUAACAAAUAAUUAUGAUUCUUUUGGAUUAGAGUAAAAGCUUAUACAUAUAUAAAUACUAAACAUUACGUC